GAGGGUAUAGCUCAAGUGGUAGAGUGCUUGCCUAGCAUGCAUGAGGUCCUGGGUUCAUUCCCCAAUAACUCCU
rnacentral:tRNA from 1 species